CACACACACACACACACACACACACACGCACACACACACACACACACACACACACACACACACACACGCGCACACACACGAUGCGCCAGCUGUCAAAGAGGCCACUGAGGAAAAAUGUAGAAGGAGAGAAAUCUUCAACGAGGAAGGCGGCCGCGGCUCAGGUGAGGUCACGUGACUGACGUCGCUGAGCACCGCCCACAGCACCGGCCUUCAGGUCACCCGUCGGACGGCCGCUACGCGUCUCCACACAUGCGCUCACAUCAUUCGAAUACAAAAGGAACUCACCACAGGCACGUUGAAAAGGUCCUGGACCCGUCCGGCGGCCCUCUGUGUACCGUCCCACAGCAUUUGGGUCUAAUUGGCAGUGCAGGUGGGACGACCUCUCACGCCUCCUAUGGACAAACCCUCAGCAACGCGACGAGCCGGAGCCUCUUUUCCUUUCUCUGUGCGGCUGAUUCGUGGAACGUUUGGGUUCUCGGGGACCAGCAGGUUGUGCCGACUCCAGAACCAGCUGUCAUUAGGGACUGGAUACAUCAUUGUCUAUCUCGCUAAGCCCCCUCCGCUGAUCCUAAACCAGUCUAAUCAAUCUGUCAGACCCGAGCAGCAGGAGAGUCAAAAUAAAAGCCUGACGGACCCGUGCAAAAAAACCUCCCAAAACCCACUUCCCUCUUUAUAUCGUUGAUUUUUGUCGCCAUUACACGCCAGGAACCACUGACUCCGAAACAGUCCUUGUAUCUAGCAUGGCAUGAGGAAUGAUCGGGGCCGUUAGCUCUAAAACCGAUCCCAGCGCCACCGUUAGGGGUCGUGGGAAUGCAGAGGAGGUCACACUGGAAGCCCCAUGGCUGAUCUGGGAGCUGUCUGAAAGGCAGGACAGGCAGGCACUGGGUGCAUGGGUGAGGAGAGGCUGACUGCACACACACACGUACGCACACACACACACACACACACACACACACACACACACACACACACAAACAUGCAGGCACAUUACGCCACCCGUAAGCCCUCCUCACACAGUAACCUUGUAUAUGUGUGUGUGUGUGCGUGUGAUCAAGUGCAAAGUGUAGAGUGCUUAUAGCACGUGUUUAGCAUUAAAUUCACAUUUCUCAAACAGUUCCUCUGGUCCUCCGUGUUUGAUCGGCCCGGCUCAGCGUACUCGUGGUUCUAUUGAGGAGCGACACAUCAGCGACAGAUACAGUUUGUUGUUGUUUUUUUUCUCCCAAAGAAACACUUACAAUGAUUUUUUUUUUUUUUUUUUCAAACACAACACAGUGAUUUUUUCUUUUAACAGGACAAACUUUCCCCCACACGUGUGAGUGUGUGCUGUGUGCGUGUGCGUGCGUGUACGUUUGAGACCAUAUUAGAGUGUUUCUGUUGUUUCUAUACUUAUAAGGACUUCCAUCCCCCCCCCAUAAAAUCAUCCAAAGCAGGGAUGCUUUUUGUAUUUGAAUUCAUGUUAGCGUGGCUUGUUUCAGUUGAUUUAAUAUCGUAAUUUGGUACAUUGUUUUUGGUUUGAACUUAUUUGAAAUAUUUAAUCACAAUAUGCUCCAAAACUCCCGCGUUAAUAAUGACAAUUAUUAUGCAUGAACCUGUUGUCGUGCCGGUCAUGGUAAACAAUCUAUUGUUUCCCCUGUGAGUCAAAUAUCUGCUCUUACAGACUCUUUUAGUGGGUCGCAUUGUUUUCUGCAUUCAUCUCCUGUUGAAGAGUUUUAGCCUGUGGUUCAUUGGGUGAAUAAGUCCUCGGAAGUAUAGCAACUAUACUUUGACAGCAUGUGUGUGUGUGUGUGUGUGUAUUGCACUUUCAGUGUUGAGUGUCCCGCUGAUGACCUGUAAAGUUGACCCCUGGCACCAGUGAGGUGAGGUCCAUGUCCACGAGAGAUGGUCCGAGCGCGCCACUGUCUCUUUCUCGGCCUCCUGUCGGAGGCUCCCGAUGUGAUCGAAACAACACAAUCUCACAAACCACAUCAAAGUAGAAAAGGAAACUAGAAUAAUAUAAUAUUACAAAGACUACGGCCCCCGCUUCCCAACGCUGCUCCCUUUCCACCCCCACCCCUCCCCGUUAAUAGAUAUAAUAACUAUAGUAUGUGACAGAGUUUGUCAUCCUCUGCACAGUGGCACCUUUAGAGUAGAAUAAUAUAUAUUUUUUACUAAUAAUACAAUUAUUUGUUGUUGAUAUCAGAGUAUCAAAGCUGUAUGGCGGUAGGAAGAGAUAGACAGAGGUGAGGUCUCAAAGAUCGCCCCGCGUCCUCUGGAGUAAACAGCGUUAAACACAGCUCCAACGCACGUGAGGCGUCUUAAAUGUAGCAGAACCCCCCCGCGGAGUACAGAGGCCCGGGGCGCCAUUUGAGACCGGGUUAGAGAUAGAGGUAAUGUAAGCACUGGAAGCGGAUGGAUAUGGCAUGCAUGGUUUGAAAAGGUCAAUGCUGGCAUGGCUCAUGGAUGCGGUGGUGAACUCUGACCCCCCCGACAGACCCUCAGAAUCCAGGGGGGGGGGCCCGAUCUGCUGAGCUACAUAGCUACUACUGCUGAGUCAGUAUACUGCAGGACGGGAUCUGAAGCUAACCUGGAGGCCGUGAUAUACUAGAAACACCUUGAGUAAUAUUUGGCACUAAGUAUGAUUAACAAUAUUUUGCUAAUAUAUGUUUCAUCCUUAAGCUAACUGAAAUAAUUCUUAAUCAAAGUUCUACCUCUGCUUAAGGCGAUAUUCUUAUUCUCUAAUUACUUCGGAAAACUCCCCGCCGAAGCCUAAAGUUAGCCCAAAAGGAAGCGGCCAAAGGCUAACGAGUAGGCUAACCAACAGGAGUAGGAGGGCCUCGUCCCCCUGGCUCCGCCUCUCCUCUGCACGGAGCGCGUCCCAUCCUCCGGGAAGCCAUUCAGCUUCGCCUCGACACGACGGCGCCGCGGCGCUGAGCAUAAAAAGCCCUUGUGUGCUCCGCUCCUUUAAAAAUUAAAAGCCCUUGCUUGGAGAAAGGCGUUUUUUUUUUUUUUUAAAUAUCCUUUUCACCCUUCACAGCCCGUGACAACUGCUGAGGUUGUAGUUAGCUUGCAAAAUUGAUAUUUACACGUGGGGGACAGCAAGAGCGAGUCCGCCGUGUUGCACAUUUGUCCCUUUAAGCUCCCUUUAUGGCGUAAAAGACAGCGGAUAAAACAGCAGCGUCAUAAAUUAAGCAGUGUGACUGAGAUUUAAAACAUUGUUUAUUUUCAAGGUAAUAACUCUCAAAGUGGUGUGGCGUUUCAGCGUGGUGAUGUUUCAUGGUUAGUUUAUACAAAACAGUGCAAUGGCGGCUUAGGGAGGUAAAGAGGGAAACAAAAAUGCAUUUUCUUCCUCUUUCGGUUUCACGCUCACCUUUUACUUACAGCCCCGGAAAAAGGUGUGAGAAAAGUUGACAUUUACACUAUUUACUGGCGCUCGCUCUCUCCCUUUCGUCUCCUCCCCCUCAUCUGUGUGCGAAACGACCCGCCGAGAAAAAGAGACGCACUUAAACAUCCCGAGUUCAAAACGCCGUUAGUGCAUUCAGUGUUUCUAUGCACACGCGUCUGAGAGGGAGGUGAACUUAAGCUUAUCGCUCCUCCACAAGCUGUCGCAGAAAAGAGACGUAGACCACGAGAUGUGUGUGUGUGUGUGUGUGUGCGCGUCUGGGUAAAUGUAUACAGGAUUUGUGGAGAUAAAGAGGAGGAGAGUCUGUGAGUGACAGCUGAACGGAUCCUUUGAAUAAUACGUGCCUCUUCUGCCAAUUCCAUCUAUUAAUCUCUCCCCGUUGGAGGAGAGCGCGCUGUACUUUAGGCCGAAGGGAGCGUUUUCUCACCGUUUAUUUCUGCGGCUGAAAUAUUUAAAAAAGACAACUUUUUUGUUGUCGUUGUUGAUCAAACUCAUCUGAAAUGCAUUCACUUGCGAGGUAGUGGGCAAACGAAAACAACAGAAAAAAAAAAAACGUCCAUCUGUUUGUUGAAUGUCUUUUUUUGGCUCUGCCUCGAAGCGUAUUCACAGCUCAGCGGUCUCCUCGCCGCGGGAACCGACAACCUCCACGGACCCUAGCUAGACUAGGAUGGACACCCACGGAAGACAGGACCUACAGGAGGAGGAGGAGGCGGAGGAGGAGGAGGAGGUGCAGGGCGGCGGUGAGGUGAGUUAUGGGGCUACACGGGAAAAGAAGGCGUGGAAGGCGAAGGGUGACGGGUGAAGGCGGGCAGACAGACGGAGAUGCGAUCACCUCGAUGCGGUAAAAAAACAAAUCAAGGUGUGACUGAAAACGGGUAAAAGGAAGCACCAAUGAUAACGUUACCAUCUAAAAAGGUUAAUUAGUUUCCCCCCCCCCCUCCCCCACCCACUCUUCUAAAAGCUGAUCUGUAGUCAGUGCACCUGGUCCCCCUCAUCAGAAACCAGGAUGCAGGUUUUAACAGCUGACCCUGGAUCAGAGAUGGGGGUAAAUGUUACCAAGAAUGAGCUCGACCCAGUUUCAGUUCAGUCUGUUAAGAAGGGAGCUUCUCCACCAAUCGAUAUGAAAGGAGCCUAUAUACAAUAUGUAUAAGAAAAUAAUAACAAACGUGCCGCCUUAAAUAGACAAACUGCGCCCUCCGUUUAUAUUUUGAAUCCAGCUGAACUGAAAGUGAAUCAAUCCCGUUCCCGAGGCGUGAUCAGAGCGACAGCCCAGAGCUGGCAGCUCGUCCCACUGCCACCCCAAAAAGGUCGGGAGGACAGAGGUCAAAAAGGUCAAAGAUCACAGAGUCCCUCACCUCCUUCCCCUUUAGUUCACAUUGUUUUAAAUGUUUGGGAGAAGUUGCCCCCCAAACAGCAGACCACUUGUCGGAUAUGCUUUUGAUCAUGGGUCAGCUUGCCCCCCCCUCGAAAAGCCAGAAAGUCACUUCAUGAUCACAACACUCAUGGACAUAAAUUGAACGUGCCUCC
ensembl:lncRNA